GACGAACGCUGGCGGCGUGCUUAACACAUGCAAGUCGAACGGAAAGUCGCGGCUUUUGCCGGGUUCUCGAGUGCCGAACUGGGGAGUAACACGUGAGUAACCUCCCCUUGACUGUGUGACAACUUCAGGGGACUGGGGCUAAUACACGAUAGGAGAUCCUGCAGCAUGGGGGUGCUUGGAAAGUUUCGGCGGUUGUGGAUCGACUCGCGGCUUAUCAGCUUGUUGGGGGUGUAGUGGCGUACCAGGGCUUUGACGGGUAGGCUGCAUGCGAGGGUGAACAGGCACCAGACGCCUGAGCUACGCAGCAGACUAGAAUGGGAGGCAGAGGUGGAGAGCAUUGCACAGCGGGGGGGCGCGUGAGGUAGCGGUGCCGCGUGCGGGAAGCCGGGCUUUGGGUUGUAAACCGCUUUCGACUGAGACGAAGAGUGAGUGACGGUACCGGGUAAAGAAGCACCGGCUAACUACGUG
rnacentral:rRNA from 1 species